rnacentral:rRNA from 1 species
UACGUAGGUGGCAAGCGUUGUCCGGAUUUACUGGGCGUAAAGCGUGCGCAGGCGGUUAUGUAAGACAGGUGUGAAAUCCCCGGGCUUAACCUGGGAACUGCAUUUGUGACUGCAUAGCUAGAGUACGGUAGAGGGGGAUGGAAUUCCGCGUGUAGCAGUGAAAUGCGUAGAUAUGCGGAGGAACACCGAUGGCGAAGGCAAUCCCCUGGACCUGUACUGACGCUCAUGCACGAAAGCGUGGGGAGCAAACAGG